rnacentral:rRNA from 1 species
AAUAGAUACCCGGUAGUCCACGCCGUAAACGAUGAGUGCUAAGUGUUAGAGGGUUUCCGCCCUUUAGUGCUGCAGCUAACGCAUUAAGCACUCCGCCUGGGGAGUACGGUCGCAAGACUGAAACUCAAAGGAAUUGACGGGGGCCCGCACAAGCGGUGGAGCAUGUGGUUUAAUUCGAAGCAACGCGAAGAACCUUACCAGGUCUUGACAUCCUCUGACAACUCUAGAGAUAGAGUGUUCCCCUUCGGGGGACAGAGUGACAGGUGGUGCAUGGUUGUCGUCAGCUCGUGUCGUGAGAUGUUGGGUUAAGUCCCGCAACGAGCGCAACCCUUGAUCUUAGUUGCCAGCAUUUAGUUGGGCACUCUAAGGUGACUGCCGGUGACAAACCGGAGGAAGGUGGGGAUGACGUCAAAUCAUCAUGCCCCUUAUGACCUGGGCUACACACGUGCUACAAUGGAUGGUACAAAGGGCUGCAAGACCGCGAGGUCAAGCCAAUCCCAUAAAACCAUUCUCAGUUCGGAUUGUAGG